rnacentral:rRNA from 1 species
AGAGUUUGAUUAUGGCUCAGGAUGAACGCUGGCGGCGUGCCUAACACAUGCAAGUCGAGCGGAGAUAUAUCGGAGAUUCUUCGGAUGAUCUUUAUAUCUUAGCGGCGGAUGGGUGAGUAACACGUGGGUAACCUGCCCUGCACUGGGGGAUAACAGUUGGAAACGACUGUUAAUACCGCAUAUGCGCACGGGACCGCAUGGUCCUGGGCGGAAAGAUUUAUCGGUGCAGGAUGGGCCCGCGUCGGAUUAACUUGUUGGUGAGGUAAUGGCCCACCAAGGUGAUGAUCCGUAGCCGACCUGAGAGGGUGACCGGCCACAUUGGGACUGAGACACGGCCCAAACUCCUACGGGAGGCAGCAGUGGGGGAUAUUGCACAAUGGGCGCAAGCCUGAUGCAGCGACGCCGCGUGAAGGAAGACGUAUUUCGGUAUGUAAACUUCUAUCAGCGGGGAAGAAGAUGACGGUACCCGACUAAGAAGCCCCGGCUAAUUACGUGCCAGCCGCAGC